AGACAACAAAAUGUUUAAUAUUAUUAUUUUGUCACCUUAGGUCGAUCGGUAUCUCACGUUCUUAAUUAAUUAAGAAUUUCAUUUCCUAAGUUUUUCUAGGUCACACCCAUUAUUUUUCCUGGCCAUAAGCUCAGGUGGUUAGAGCGCACCCCUGAUAAGGGUGAGGUCCCUGGUUCAAGUCCAGGAUGGCCCAUAUCUCUAUGUUGGGGGUAUAGCUCAGUUGGUAGAGCGCCUGCUUUGCAAGCAGGAUGUCAGCGGUUCGAGUCCGCUUACCUCCACUGAUUACCACCUCUUCCAUAAUCUGUAGAAAGGAAAUGUUUUGAGUUGUGAUCAAAUUCUGAACGAAUCUAGCUUCCUAAUGAAAGCAUUAAGAUGCUGGACUCAUUGAAUUAAUUUCAUUGUUUUCAGAGAACCUUGACAACUGCAUAGAUUAUUUUUUUAAAGACAAUAAGCAUCUUAAAUGAUGCAGAUUUAUUAUUUGUGCGAAUGCAUUAAUAACAAUUCUAUUAAGCUGAUGCUUCAAUUUUGAAGUUAUU
rnacentral:tRNA from 1 species